rnacentral:rRNA from 1 species
UACGGAGGGUGCAAGCGUUAUCCGGAAUCACUGGGUUUAAAGGGUCCGUAGGCGGUUUAAUAAGUCAGUGGUGAAAGCCCAUCGCUCAACGGUGGAACGGCCAUUGAUACUGUUAAACUUGAAUUAUUAGGAAGUAACAAGAAUAUGUAGUGUAGCGGUGAAAUGCUUAGAGAUUACAUGGAAUACCAAUUGCGAAGGCAGGUUACUACUAAUGGAUUGACGCUGAUGGACGAAAGCGUGGGUAGCGAACAGG